rnacentral:rRNA from 1 species
UCCUACGGGAGGCAGCAGUGGGGAAUAUUGGACAAUGGGCGAAAGCCUGAUCCAGCCAUGCCGCGUGUGUGAAGAAGGCUUUCGGGUUGUAAAGCACUUUCAGUGGGGAAGAAGGCUUGUCGGCCAAUACCCGGCAAGAGCGACAUCACCCACAGAAGAAGCACCGGCUAACUCCGUGCCAGCAGCCGCGGUAAUACGGAGGGUGCAAGCGUUAAUCGGAAUUACUGGGCGUAAAGCGCGCGUAGGCGGCUUGUCACGCCGGGUGUGAAAGCCCCGGGCUCAACCUGGGAACGGCAUCCGGAACGGGCAGGCUAGAGUGCAGGAGAGGAAGGUAGAAUUCCCGGUGUAGCGGUGAAAUGCGUAGAGAUCGGGAGGAAUACCAGUGGCGAAGGCGGCCUUCUGGACUGACACUGACGCUGAGGUGCGAAAGCGUGGGUAACAAACAGGAUUAGAUACCCUGGUAGUCCACGCCGUAAACGAUGUCGACUAGCCGUUGGGUCCCUUGAGGACUUAGUGGCGCAGUUAACGCGAUAAGUCGACCGCCUGGGGAGUACGGCCGCAAGGUUAAAACUCAAAUGAAUUGACGGGGGCCCGCACAAGCGGUGGAGCAUGUGGUUUAAUUCGAUGCAACGCGAAGAACCUUACCUACCCUUGACAUCCUGCGAACCCGGAAAGAUAUUCCGGGGUGCCUUCGGGAGCGCAGAGACAGGUGGCUGCAUGGCUGAUCCUCAGCUCGUGUGUGAAAUGUUGGAUUAAGUCC